AGAAAGGCCAGCAGCGACGACACAGCAGGAGUCUUAGUGGCCGAAGGGCUCCCACUUCCGACUCAGCACGACAACCGGAGCUUACGUCAUGACCAGGCGCCAGGCCCGCGGAGUCUCACCCGGGCGCCGGAAGCAGGGGGUGCCGCCCUGCGCCGGGAACUGGCGCGCAAACACCUCAACGGCGCCUGCGCCUGCCGGGGUCACGCCUUUUUGAAGCCGCUUGUGUUACUCUUCAUAGAUUAUUAUCAAUGAGGCAACAACUACAGCAAUAACAACAAUAACAAUAAUAAAGAUUUGAGCUCUUA